rnacentral:rRNA from 1 species
UGGGGAAUAUUGCACAAUGGGCGAAAGCCUGAUGCAGCAACGCCGCGUGAGUGAUGAAGGCCUUCGGGUUGUAAAGCUCUGUCUUUUGGGACGAUAAUGACGGUACCAAAGGAGGAAGCCACGGCUAACUACGUGCCAGCAGCCGCGGUAAUACGUAGGUGGCAAGCGUUGUCCGGAUUUACUGGGCGUAAAGGAUGCGUAGGCGGAUUUUUAAGUGAGAUGUGAAAACCCUAGCUUAACUUGGGACUGCAUUUCAUACUGGGAAACUCUAGAGUGCGGGAGAGGAGAAUGGAAUUCCUAGUGUAGCGGUGAAAUGCGUAGAGAUUAGGAAGAACACCAGUGGCGAAGGCGAUUCUCUGGACCGUAACUGACGCUGAGGCAUGAAAGCGUGGGUAGCAAACAGGAUUAGAUACCCUGGUAGUCCACGCCGUAAACGAUGAGUACUAGGUGUAGGAGGUAUCGACCCCUUCUGUGCCGCAGUUAACACAAUAAGUACUCCGCCUGGGAAGUACGAUCGCAAGAUU